GACGAGAGGUCCCGGCAUGAGCAGCCGGAGCACGCUUAAUGGGAGACGGCGACUUGCGAUCGCGCUGUUAUUUAAGAGAAGCCUUUAUUUUUCAAACUCUGAAAAAGAAAAAAAAAAAAAAAAAAAGAUGUAUCUGAAAAAACAACCAGGAGAGGGGGGAAAAAAAAAAGGAAAAAAUUAUGAAGCGAGAGCUCCGGGCGUCCAGGUCGCCCGGGCGGCGCCGCCAGCGGCAGGCGGGGGUCGCGGGGGUCGCCCGCGCUCCCCAGCCGCCGCUCUCCGCAGGGGCCACUGCGGGGCUGUGGACUCCCCAGGGGGAGAGUCACCCGAAAACUCUGUCACCCACCGCCCCGAACACCGCCGUGUGCGCUGAGCGGGCCCCGGCCCCGCGCCCCGCGCCCCGCGCCCUCGGCCCGGGGUCCCGCGUUCUGGGGCCGGCGGGGCUCUCGGGGCUGCGGGCUGGCGUCGCCAGGGGGGUCCACACCCGAGCCUCGCCGCGCCGGGUGCCCUCGUGCCCCGCGUGGACCGCGCCUGGCGCACACGUGUCCGUUCCCUGGGCUCACGCAGGGGGCGCCCCGGACCCCACCCACGUGCGUUUCCUCGGCAGGGGAAAGCGCCCCGCAGGCUCUCGAAGCAGAGCGAAAAGGGUUUCUGACUGCACAAUGCGGGAACGAGGGAGCUGAGCGCGCCGGCGAGCCGGGCAGGGCGAGCUCCGAGCGCGGGAGCCGGCCACGUGCGCCCUGGCAGGACGCCGCCACCCGAGCAGCCGCGGCUGCGGGGCUGGGGGUUGCCGGGCACGGGACAGCGUCCCCGGAGGCAGAGCAGGCAAUUCGGGGAGCCCCGGGCGUGGCGCAAGCGCUGCGCGAAGUAUGUGUGGUUCCCCAGGCCGAGGCGCAGCGGUCAGCCGGUGAGCUGGGGCUGGGGCCCACCUCCCCCGUCCAGGGGGCCCCGGCCUCCUGGCCUCAGCCUGGCCCAGCCUGGGCUUUGGGAGGGGAGUGCACCAACAGAUGCAAGAGCUGUCUGUCUCCAUCUCUCUGCCUUUCAAAUAAAAUGAGACAGGAUAGUUUAAAAGGUUUUAAGGAGCUGAGGCUGGUGGAGAGCCCUGGCGAGAGGCCGGCUCACCACGCCCGGGGGGCCAUGUUCACUCCCAGGCCAGGGCCGCGUCGCCUUCCCGCACCGGCCUGCUUUAUUCGUCUCUCUGUGUGUGUAGCCAUCUCUUCUGGCUCGGGAGAGUGUCCGGAUAUGUGCAUGAGAGAAUGGGGGGCCUGAGGUCUGCUGCCCCCCUCUCUGACCUCCCUCCCACGACCGCGAGCCCUUAGUCUUUGUCUGUCAGGACAGGAGAAAAAGAAAGCUAGGUUUUCAUAAUCCUCGCAAUCUGUGGCCCGCCUGCCUCUCCAGGAUCAAACAAGACAAGUGAGACCUGUCCGGGGCUGAGCAGACCCCCGGGGUGGUCGCUCACUCCCCCACUCCCUUUGGGAACCGUCACCAAGGACCGCCUGGCCUUGGGGUCCCGCGGAUGGCGGUCACCUUCCCUGCUUAGCCUUGAAUCUUCUCUGCAGGGCCACCUUCUUCCUCACUC
rnacentral:lncRNA from 1 species